UACAGAGGUCUCAAGCGUUGUUCGGAUUCAUUGGGCGUAAAGGGUGCGUAGGCGGCGCGGUAAGUCGGGUGUGAAAUCUCGGAGCUUAACUCCGAAACUGCAUUCGAUACUGCCGUGCUUGAGGACUGGAGAGGAGACUGGAAUUUACGGUGUAGCGGUGAAAUGCGUAGAUAUCGUAAGGAAGACCAGUGGCGAAGGCGGUUCUCUGGGCAGUAACUGACGCUGAGGAGCGAAAGCGUGGGGAGCGAACAGG
rnacentral:rRNA from 1 species